UUGAACGCUGGCGGAAUGCUUUACACAUGCAAGUCGAGCGGCAGCGCGGGGGCAACCUUGGCGGCGAGCGGCGAACGGGUGAGUAACAUAUCGGAACGUACCCAGACGUGGGGGACAACUAGUCGAAAGACUAGCUAAUACCGCAUACGUCCUGAGGGAGAAAGCGGGGGAUCGCAAGACCUCGCGCGUUUGGAGCGGCCGAUAUCUGAUUAGCUAGAUGGUGGGGUAAAGGCUCACCAUGGCGACGAUCAGUAGCUGGUCUGAGAGGAUGAUCAGCCACACUGGAACUGAGACACGGUCCAGACUCCUACGGGAGGCAGCAGUGGGGAAUUUUGGACAAUGGGGGAAACCCUGAUCCAGCCAUUCCGCGUGAGUGAAGAAGGCCUUCGGGUUGUAAAGCUCUUUCAGACGGAAAGAAAUCGGGCGCGUGAAUAGCGUGCCUGGAUGACGGUACUGUCAGAAGAAGCACCGGCUAACUACGU
rnacentral:rRNA from 1 species